rnacentral:rRNA from 1 species
GAUGAACGCUGGCGGCGUGCCUAAUACAUGCAAGUCGAGCGAACGGACGAGAAGCUUGCUUCUCUGAUGUUAGCGGCGGACGGGUGAGUAACACGUGUAUAACCUACCUAUAAGACUGGGAUCACUUCGGGAAACCGGCGCUAAUACCGGAUAAUAUUUUGAACCGCAUGGUUCAAAAGUGAAAGACGGUCUUGCUGUCACUUCUAGAUGGAUCCGCGCUGCAUUAGCUAGUUGGUAAGGUAACGGCUUACCACGGCAACGAUGCAUAGCCGACGUGAGAGAGUGAUAGGCGACACGGGAAGGGAGACGCGGUCAUGACGCCUAAGGGACGCAGCAGUAGGGAAUCGUCCGCAGUGGGCGAAAGCCUGACGGAGCGACGCCGCGUGAGUGAUGACGGUCUUCGGAUCGUAAAACUCUGUUAUGAGGGAAGAACAUAUGUGUAAGUAACUGUGCACAUCUUGACGGUACCUAAUCAGAAAGCCACGGCUAACUACGUG